rnacentral:rRNA from 1 species
UACGUAGGGUGCAAGCGUUGUCCGGAAUUAUUGGGCGUAAAGAGCUCGUAGGCGGUGUGUCGCGUCGGCCGUGAAAACCUGCAGCUUAACUGUGGGCGUGCGGUCGAUACGGGCAUCACUGGAGUUCGGCAGGGGAGACUGGAAUUCCUGGUGUAGCGGUGAAAUGCGUAGAUAUCUGGAGGAAUACCGGUGGCGAAGGCGGCAUCCUGGACCGACAUUGACGCUGAACGGCGAAAGCUAGGGGAGCAAACGGG